AAGCCCAGACCUCCCUGUCCCCAGCCACCUCGGCCAACUUGUCUGGGGGAACACAAAGGUGUUCCCAGGCCCAUGUCCUGGGUCUGCCCCGGGGCCUCCUCCAGUGGUGGGACAUGCCCAGACUCACCCAGGAUGCAUCCUUGUCAGAUGCCCAAACCACUUCAACUGGUUCCUUUCGAUGUGGAGGGGCAGCGGCUCUACUCUGAGCCCCUCUCAGAUGGCUGAUCUUAUCCUAUCUCUAAGCGAGAGGCCAGCCACUCGGAGGAGGAAGCCCAUUUCUGCUGCUUGUAUCCGCGAUCUCAUUCUUUCAGUCACUACCCACAGCUCAUGACCACAGCCAUCACGGCAGACGGACGUCCCUCCCUGAGCCUGGUUCUGACAAACGUUUCUUCCUGUUAAAUGUGAGUUUUUCUUUCCCUCUGUCGCCAUGUGCUUACUCAUAGGAAGUCAUCCAAUUGUUGGGAA
ensembl:lncRNA